CUUAAGUAUUGGAGGAUGACUAAGGAAUAAGGUCAAAAGUUCUUGCCAAUUAUUAUAAAUAAAGUUUAUGUUAGAAAAAUGGAUAUUACAUAUAAGUCCAACGAGGUUCACUAAAAAUGGUAUUUUAAUUUUCUUUCUCUCACUAAGAGAGCAUGAGCACCUUGAUUUUAUGGGUUACUAUCGCUUUUAUGUGUUAUCGAGGGAGAGUUACAACUCUGACAAAUUAACCAUCUACGGCGCCGUCUCCUAACCAACAUUCAAACAAACAUGCAGAUGAUAACUUUCUUCACUCCACUUCAAUAAAAUGUGUAAUAAAGUUUGUUGGUAUAGUUGUCGGCGAGGCCAGGAACGAAGAUGUUAACGGAUAAAUUUAAUUUAUCAGGGUUGUGAUUCUCCUCCGAUACCAUGGGAAUGAUAGGAGCUGAUGAAAGGUACCUCGUGUCUCUUUGUGAGAUAAAAGAGACGUAAGAAAACUAUCAAAGUUGGUGCUGUCAAUUGCGAUUACUGUUUAAGCUGCAAAUUUGCUCAAAUUAGCAGGCGCAAUGUUCGAUUGAAUAUUUUAAUGCGACUGAUAAAUUAAUGGGUUUGCUUCUGAGUUUAUUUAAUUGUGAUUUUAUUGAUCUUGUUGGUUUAGAAAUUAGGAAGUGGGUUUAAUUUUAUUGCUAGAUUUGCUCUAUAUUUGCUGGUUUGAUUCUAUUCAUAGUGUUGUUGAUUCUAAUUGUGCUAUAUAAUGCUCAAUCUGAUGAUGAUAAAGUAUUUCAUUUCAUCUAUAUUAUUUGAUUAUGCUUUCCUAUUUCUGGUCAAUGGAUUCCAGAUGUGCUAUAAAUGAAUUUAGAAGUAGAUCUCAUUAACUAAAGAGGUACCUCUUUUGCUAUUAUGUUACCAUUGAGAAUUCGGGUUUAUAAUUAUUCUGUUGAAUAUAGGAAAUUUUGAAUGUACCUGUUUCAUGAAUGAAAUUUUUUCUUUUCAAUCGUUCUUAAAUGUAAAUUAAAACACACAAAUUUAUCGCUUUGAAUUGCCAUAAUACUACAUUUUCGUUUAUAAUACGCAAGUUUCAGUACUUAAGACUGGUGUUUGAAGUCUUUCUACCCGUCUUUGUGCCUCUUAGGCUCCUAAGUCGUAGUCAACCUGAUAUGAGAGAAGAGGGUAUAAGACCAAGUGGUGUUGGAAUCUUCGUGGAUGAAUCAAUAGUAGAUGAUCUUGCACUCAACCACUAAUAGCCUAUACGAGCCACCUAAUGGAUUUCAGUUACUUUGGUUUGUGUAAUAUAAUUCACGGUUAUGUUAUUAAGGCUCUGUAAAUCAACCUCUGCAAAUGAGACCUUGCUAUUAUGUGACAAUUUGUUAACUAUUCACACAAUAUUAUGUUAGGAGCCUAGAACUCUAUUAACAUCCCAUCAUUAACAAGAAGUUGAACCACUAGUAUAGAUCAGCAAUUAAUUGUUGAAAUUAAAUUUCUCCGGAAGGGUGGUACCUAGUUGAUUACUUCUUAGGUGUGAAGUCUGUGAACCUAGUUUGUGUCGUCUCAUCAAACAAUUUAAUAAUUGUGACUUCUCAAGAUGUGUGACAAUCUGGUUACUCUCUUCUCUCAGAAUGAAGAUGUUCUUCUGAAAAUGUUGGUACUAACGUGUGAUACCUAGCACGAUAUGCAAUUAUUGUGCUGUUCAACUCUGUAAUCCAUGUAGGAGAUUCUAGGAUUUUGUUGGACACUUUAAUACUACCUCCGUUAACUUUUAGUUGCAACUUUGGAAUAUUUUAUAUCUCACAAAUAAUACCCUAAAGUUGCAACUAAAAGUUAACGGGGUAGUAUAUUUUUGAGACCCUUUAUCAUCAUAUGACCGUUGAAUUCGACUUUCUGUGUGUUAUAAGAUAUCCUAGGUCCUGUAAUAAUAGCUUGUUUUGUUCCAUAUAUAUACCUUGAAAUAGCCUCCUCUUCUAAUUUGGAUUUUAGGAUUCGACUGCUUACAUGUUAGUAUCUUAUGAGUCAUGUUUCAGUCUCCUGAACUUCACCUGGCACAACUUAAACUAGGUGGUGUUUGACUUUUUGUUUUUUAACAUCCUUGCUGACCUCAGUCCACAAGUCAAACAUACAGCAUUAGAUUAUCUUCUUGUCUUCUCUUGAGAAACUAAAGCAAUGGUAUAUUAUAUUGUUUCCGUAGAUUGUCAAUGAUAACGAAGUAUUUCAGUUACUGUAGGUUAUGUUUCCCUUCAAUCUUCAUUGAGUUUAGAAAGUGAUAUUUGAGGAGAAUAGUUUUUUAAUGCCUUCAACAGCAGGUGGAAGAACAUUGUGGUCUGUUCUGGUAAGGGCAUUUGUGCAAGUGGUACUAUGGCUAGCUGUUUCUUCUAUUUUUCUCCUCGGGGACUGGGAUUUUGGGUUUGUCGAAUGACUUAGACUUCUGUUAUUUCAAAUACACUUAGCUUAUUGCCCAUGGGUGAACUGGUGAAAGCCUGCUUGCUGAGUGAAAAGCAAAAUGUUUUUAUGCUGAGUCUGAUUUCCAGGUUUGGAUCUUGUCAGUUUGUUGCUUGAGAUUUAAUGAAAACUGUGGUACCGUUACUUGUAGGUGUUAAUCAUGAUUGUUUCUUAGCAAUUUUCCAACAUUAUUGACUUUUUAGCAUAUAGUUAUGUUAUUUAUCCUUUUUUAGGGUUUUUUUUUUUUCCUUCUUCUGUGUUCUUUUGAAGUUUGAAGUUAUCAUGAUAGAAGUUUCUCCGUAUACAGUUUAAUGUCUUUUUAUGCAGGCCCCAUGUUUAAUUGUUUGUUAUUUCGUCUGGAUUAUUUUGAAGAUGUUCCAUUAUGUUUUGUUCUUGUCUCUCGCUUAAAAGCCAAGAUUGCAGCUUUUUUGUUGAUGGCUUGAUGCGUUUCUUUGUUACAUUAUAUAACUUUGUUUCAGGAUGAUAGAUAUUAUGCCUUUUACAUUUGAAGCUGUUUAGAAAUUAGAACUUAGAUUAUCUAGCUCAAUAUAUCAGUACAGAUAAAGUCAUCACGUACUGUCAGUACAGAGAAAGCAUGAUUGGAAGGAUACUAAAGGAAGAAUCAGAGUAAUAUAGAGUUGGUUGAUGCUUCUAUAGUGCUUUGAAGAAAUUAUCGAUUGGAACUCAAUUUAAAUUCGAGCUGGUUGUCUAGGGAACUCAAUUUAAAUUCAAGCUGGUUGUCUAGGUUAAUGCCAGUGUACUUUGUUUAGAUCCGUCCAAGGGAUAGUGCAGUCAGCCAGCCACCACUGAGAGUGGGUUAUAAAGCCGAAUCCAAAGUAAAAUCAGAUGUGUUUGCAUGUGUAGUAGAUGAAGUAUAUUGGAACUGAGUAGUAACUAAAGCUGGUUCUCGAAUCCAGUCUUGUAGAUUGUGUUAUAUGUUGAAUUGUUGAUCCAUUUUAAAUCCAUCCACCCCUUUAACAUGUCUUAUCUAAUAAAAGCUUUAAUUAAUGUUUGGUUUA